rnacentral:rRNA from 1 species
UAGAGGAAGUAAAAGUCGUAACAAGGUUUCCGUAGGUGAACCUGCGGAAGGAUCAUUAAAAGAAAUUGGUUAUACAUUUCAUGUAUCAACUGUUUAAACCCAUUCUGUGUACCUUGCCUGUUGCUUCCAUGGAGCCUGACUUUGGUCACUCUUGUGAUGUAAAUCCCAAGGGAGUCCCCAUGGAAGGUCAUCAAUAAAACUCAUGUAUCCAAUUUCUUCUGUCUGAACUGUUUAUAACAAAUGUUAAAACUUUCAACAACGGAUCUCUUGGUUCUCGCAUCGAUGAAGAACGCAGCGAAAUGCGAUAAGUAGUGUGAAUUGCAGAAUUCAGUGAAUCAUCGAAUCUUUGAACGCACAUUGCGCCUCCUGGUAUUCCGGGAGGCAUGCCUGUUCGAGCGUCAUUAAAUACCUCUCAAGCACCAUUGCUUGGUCAUGGAAGAUGAGUAUGCUUGCAUUCUCCCUUCUGAAAUUCAAAGGCGGAUCAUCUCAUAUUCCCUGGCGUAGUAAGUGUUUAUCUUUCGCUUGGAGUGUGUGACAGUCUUGCCAUCGACCCCCAUUAUUUCAAGGUUGACCUCGGAUCAGGUAGGGAUACCCGCUGAACUUAAGCAUAUCAAUAA